UCCUGCCUGGUCUGGCCGGUCUGGCCGGUCUGGCCGGUCUGGCCGGUCUGGCCGUCCCGCUCGGCCGGCGGGGG
rnacentral:tRNA from 1 species